rnacentral:tRNA from 1 species
GCGGGUGUAGCUCAAUGGCUAGAGCGUCAGCCUUCCAAGCUGAAAACGGCGGUUCGACUCCGCUCACCCGCUCCA